rnacentral:rRNA from 1 species
CGUAGGUGAACCUGCGGAGGGAUCAUUACUGAGUUUACGCUCUACAACCCUUUGUGAACAUACCUACAACUGUUGCUUCGGCGGGUAGGGUCUCCGCGACCCUCCCGGCCUCCCGCCUCCGGGCGGGUCGGCGCCCGCCGGAGGAUAACCAAACUCUGAUUUAACGACGUUUCUUCUGAGUGGUACAAGCAAAUAAUCAAAACUUUUAACAACGGAUCUCUUGGUUCUGGCAUCGAUGAAGAACGCAGCGAAAUGCGAUAAGUAAUGUGAAUUGCAGAAUUCAGUGAAUCAUCGAAUCUUUGAACGCACAUUGCGCCCGCCAGCAUUCUGGCGGGCAUGCCUGUUCGAGCGUCAUUUCAACCCUCAAGCUCUGCUUGGUGUUGGGGCCCUACAGCCGAUGUAGGCCCUCAAAGGUAGUGGCGGACCCUCCCGGAGCCUCCUUUGCGUAGUAACUUUACGUCUCGCACUGGGAUCCGGAGGGACUCUUGCCGUAAAACCCCCCAAUUUUCCAAAGGUUGACCUCGGAUCAGGUAGGAAUACCCGCUGAACUUAAGCAUAUCA